AUAUCAAUACCAAUCGCCUUUGCUGCUCCCAGCUUCAGCGCGGCAAUCGCCAGAAUGCCUGAACCGCAGCCAAAGUCGAUCACGGUUUUGCCGUUGAGAUCGAGCCCGUCCAGCCAUUGCAGACAUAAAGAGGUGGUGGGGUGCGUACCCGUACCGAACGCCAGUCCCGGGUCGAGCAUCACGUUGACGGCAUUCUCGUCCGGAAUGUCACGCCAGCUUUCGUGACCGCCCGUCUCCUGGGCAAAAUGCGCAAACAUAGUAGCCAGGGUUUUACGGCAGAUAGCGUCGCUAUCGCGUNNNCACACACUUAAUUAAUUAAGUGUGUG
rnacentral:rRNA from 1 species